rnacentral:lncRNA from 1 species
CCAGGCGCCAACUCCUGAGAUUAAAGCCGCGUGGGUGAAUGAAAUUCGGAAAGUGCUGACCAGCCAGCUGCAGGCUUGUAGAGAAGCCAGCCAGCACCGGGCGCUGGAGCAGUCACAGAGCCUGCCCCUGCCGGCCCCGACCAGCACCAGUCCCUCAAGAGGAAACUCAAGGAACAUCAAGAAGCUGGAAGAAAGGAAAACAGACCCCCUAAGCCUGGAGGGAUACGUCAGCUCAGCGCCACUGACAAAGCCCCCCGAAAAGGGCAAAGAUGACACGGUCACUAGCUCUGCCUCAGAAAGCUCUGCGCUUUCCAGAAAGCGCUUUACCCUGCAGGGUUUUGCUAACCUCAAAGGUCAGAAAGGUUGGAGCAAAACGUCCCACUCACUGGAGGCACCUGAGGACGACGGGGGCUGGUCAAGUGCAGAGGAGCAGAUUAACUCGUCCGACGCAGA